rnacentral:sRNA from 12 species
AUUAAGUAGAAAUAAAGAUGUGAUACAGGUGAAGAAGGUGCAAACUGCCUGUACUACCUCAUGCUAACGAGAGUAGACGGAUACGUUUACUCUUAUGAGUCCUGAAAGGGAUAUGACGAAAGUCUAAAUGAGUGUAGGUUUAUAACUAAAUAGAGAUAAAGGUUGACAAGACUUGGUUGCGACAAUAGACGCCUCUGUGAGGAAUAAGCUGUGAAAUGGUGGCUUGAUAACCAUUGCAGGAAGCAGUACAUCAAUAACGCAAUUUAGGGUGACGUAGUUGAAAUGCUACUAUAACAAGUUACGUUGAAAGAUAGCCUAAUCCCUUGUGAAGAUAAAACACAUUGGUUAAAAUCUGAACGCAGGUUAUUUUUGGGAGUUCUAAUCUCCCUAUACCUAGGUGUCGAAAGACAUAAGUAUAGAAGUUAUAGGGUCGCUACUUAUAGCUCAGACUAUGCUUGUAUAUGACCGAAUAUAUCAAAGUUUAACUUAUGAAUCCUGAACAAAAAGGACACAAUUUUUAUUAAU